rnacentral:rRNA from 1 species
AUACGUAGGGUGCAAGCGUUAAUCGGAAUUACUGGGCGUAAAGCGUGCGCAGGCGGUUUUGUAAGACAGUGGUGAAAUCCCCGGGCUCAACCUGGGAACUGCCAUUGUGACUGCAAGGCUGGAGUGCGGCAGAGGGGGAUGGAAUUCCGCGUGUAGCAGUGAAAUGCGUAGAUAUGCGGAGGAACACCGAUGGCGAAGGCAAUCCCCGUGGCCUGCACUGACGCUCAUGCACGAAAGCGUGGGGAGCAAACAGGAUUAGAUACCCUGGUAGUCCACGCCCUAAACGAUGUCAACUGGUUGUUGGGGAUUUAUUUUCUCAGUAACGAAGCUAACGCGUGAAGUUGACCGCCUGGGGAGUACGGCCGCAAGGUUAAAACUUAAAGGAAUUGACGGGG